AGAGCGAACGCUGGCGGCGUGCUUAACACAUGCAAGUCGAGUGCGCAGCUUUCUGUAGCAAUACAGGAAGCCGGCGCACGGCGCACGGGUGCGUAACACGUGGGUAACCUGCCCUCCAAAGGGGGAUAACCCCGCGAAAGCGGGGCUAAUACCGCAUGACAUUCCGAGUACUUCGGUGUUCGGAAUCAAAGCUCGAAAGGGCGUUGGAGGAGGGGCCCGCGGCCGAUUAGCUUGUUGGCGAGGUAACGGCUCACCAAGGCAAUGAUCGGUA
rnacentral:rRNA from 1 species